GACGAACGCGGCGGCGUGCCUAAUACAUGCAAGUAGAACGCUGAAGAGAGGAGCUUGCUCUUCUUGGAUGAGUUGCGAACGGGUGAGUAACGCGUAGGUAACCUGCCUGGUAGCGGGGGAUAACUAUUGGAAACGAUAGCUAAUACCGCAUAAUAGCAGUUGUUGCAUGAUAACUGUUUGAAAGGUGCAAUUGCAUCACUACCAGAUGGACCUGCGUUGUAUUAGCUAGUUGGUGGGGUAACGGCUCACCAAGGCGACGAUACAUAGCCGACCUGAGAGGGUGAUCGGCCACACUGGGACUGAGACACGGCCCAGACUCCUACGGGAGGCAGCAGUAGGGAAUCUUCGGCAAUGGACGGAAGUCUGACCGAGCAACGCCGCGUGAGUGAAGAAGGUUUUCGGAUCGUAAAGCUCUGUUGUAAGAGAAGAACGAGUGUGAGAGUGGAAAGUUCACACU
rnacentral:rRNA from 1 species